rnacentral:rRNA from 1 species
AUACGGAGGAUGCAAGCGUUAUCCGGAUUUAUUGGGUUUAAAGGGUCCGUAGGCGGGCUAAUAAGUCAGGGGUGAAAUCCCACAGCUUAACUGUGGAACUGCCCUUGAUACUGUUGGUCUUGAGUUACAGUGAAGUGGUUAGAAUGUGUAGUGUAGCGGUGAAAUGCAUAGAGAUUACACAGAAUACCGAUUGCGAAGGCAGAUCACUAACUGUAUACUGACGCUAAUGGACGAAAGCGUGGGGAGCGAACAGGAUUAGAAACCCUGGUAGUCC